rnacentral:rRNA from 1 species
GGACCCGCACAAGCGGUGGAGCAUGUGGUUUAAUUCGAAGCUACGCGCAGAACCUUACCUACUCUUGACAUCUACAGGAUCCUGCGGAGACGCGGGAGUGCCUUCGGGAACUGUAAGACAGGUGCUGCAUGGCUGUCGUCAGCUCGUGUUGUGAAAUGUUGGGUUAAGUCCCGCAACGAGCGCAACCCUUAUCCUUGUUUGCCAGCGAGUAAUGUCGGGAACUCCAGGGAGACUGCCGGUGAUAAACCGGAGGAAGGUGGGGACGACGUCAAGUCAUCAUGGCCCUUACGAGUAGGGCUACACACGUGCUACAAUGGCGCAUACAGAGGGCAGCAAGCUAGCGAUAGUGAGCGAAUCCCAAAAAGUGCGUCGUAGUCCGGAUUGGAGUCUGCAACUCGACUCCAUGAAGUCGGAAUCGCUAGUAAUCG